GAUUAUAAUACACGGCAGCCGGCUGCCGCUGCUACCUUUGUUUUUGUUUUUGCUAUUUGUAUUUUUGUUAUUAUCACAGUUUCAUUUCUUUUCGCAUCAUGCGCUUUUCGCUUUAUUUCUUUCACGUACAACAAAAAACAGCUGAGUUCUGACGUCUGAGCAGAGAACGACUGCGACUGCGCCGCAAAUGUCAAAUUGUGCAAAUGCAAAGAACACAAGUGAAAAGCCGAAGAAUCAAUUGGAUAAAUCGCUGUGCGGUAGGAAAUUUGCAUUUGUCGACAAAUUGGAAAGUGUUUUGACUAUAUUUCUGUGCUUUUCAAAACGUUUAAUUCACAUAAAUAAUCGUGAGCAUAAUUAAGAAACAGAAAAGACUAAUAAUUUCCGUGAGUUUUGCCGAAAAGUUGUGCGGGUGUUCAAAGCAAGUGUGCCGGCAAACGUGACAAGUUCCAGUGAAAAUUUUCAGCCGUAAAUUUGUUCAAACUUUUGUGUGUGAGAAAACGCAGAAAUUACGCAAGUUGUUCAACGCAACGCAUUCACGCCGCCCUGGAAGUGUGUUCACAUCGAAAGAAAGUAGCCGCUUGGUGUACACAAAUCUGUGCGUCAUCACUCAAUUGUGUGCGGAAAUUUAGCACGCCCCCCAAAAAGCGUUAACAGGAAAAAUUAUUGGAACUGAUUUAUGCGGCUUUUCUGCUCGCUGCGGCAUUUAACAAAGAAAGCGCAACGCCUUUCUGCCACCGCUACCGCUUACACAAGAAAGAAUUCGCAAAAUUUUGAUGCCACACAAUUUACCAGCUCAUUAAAAUUGCAGACACGCCGAAACUUUGAAAAUUGCAAAUAACAGCAAACAAGAAAAGAUCUUUUUGAUAGUAAACUGUGCUAAGAUUUGCUGAUAACACUUAUUUACACACAAACAACAACAAUAAAUAUUAUAAUAAAACAAAAAAAGUAAAAGCCAACAAGCACGUUGUGUGAGCUUUGAGCGCAACAGGCAAAGUGUCUAUAAGAAAGUCAUUAACUGCAGCUCUCCGUCAGGCGCGAACCACUGCAGCAGCCACCGUUAGUUUUCAGCGACUUCAAGCGUACAAAACGAAAAUGUCUAGUUUCGAGCAAUCGGCGGUCGUCAAUGCAGCUGCACUGCCAAUGGCGGAGGAAAUUGACAACGCUGUUGACCUUAUGACGCCACGGUCAGCGGAAAAGAAAUACUACCGCAAAGCCAGCAAUAGGUAAGUUCAAUUUAGAUCUAAACUAACGAGUAAGGUUCUCCGAAGUAUGGUACUAACGUGUAAGAUUCCCAUUUCUAAGUAG